ACAGCAGUCGCCGCGGGAAUACGAAGGGUGCAAGCGUUAAUCGGAAUUACUGGGCGUAAAGCGUGCGUAGGCGGUGAGUUAAGUCUGCUGUGAAAUCCCCGGGCUCAACCUGGGAAUGGCAGUGGAUACUGGCUCGCUAGAGUGUGUCAGAGGAUGGUGGAAUUCCCGGUGUAGCGGUGAAAUGCGUAGAGAUCGGGAGGAACAUCAGUGGCGAAGGCGGCCAUCUGGGACAACACUGACGCUGAGGCACGAAAGCGUGGGGAGCAAACAGGAUUAGAUACCCCCGUAGUCCCUGUCUCUUAUAC
rnacentral:rRNA from 1 species